rnacentral:sRNA from 1 species
UUUAUAUCAUGUAUCUUGAUCUAUUUCUUACCCAAUGACAUCCACUGGAUUUACUUCGAUGUCUAUGUUUUAAAAGAAAACAGCUGUACUUGUAUUACUGAGUUCUUUCCCCUUGAACUGGCAAACGUCGGCAGCCGCUUUUAACUAGAUCUAGUUAGGGGCGGAAUUGAAAAAAGCUUGACUAUAGUAGGAUGACUUGGGCCCACUUGGGGGGAAUAUUAUAUCUAGAUUCUAGAUUAGAUCUAAUUUCGCUAUGACUUUAUUGUUAAGAACCAGACUUUUUAUUAACCUAUAUUGGAUCUGGCUGUAAAUCUAGUCAUAUUGGUUUACUUAUGUGGGAAUUAAUUACAUUUAUUCUGCUUUGAAAAAAUUAAACUAAAUUCAUCUUUGUGCCGAGGGCCUUCCCGGCAUUCCAAAGUGACUGGCAGCCUGUUCCUUUCAACAGUAUGAGAUGAUCAUCAAUCACGUGAUCGCAUAUCGUCUGCUGUGCACAGCCCUAAGUGUGGCCUUGACCCAAGCGUACUUUGUGGUCCCGAAGAUGACAGACAAGUUGUAUAUAAAAAAGGGUGACGUCAACAUCGGGGUCAUCCUCUCGAUGACCGACUAUGACGCUUCCAAAACCUGCGGGGAUAUGGUGUCCAGCUUUCUGCCCAUAGAGCUGACCGAGUCCAUUGCGUUUGCCUUGGACAGAAUUAACAACG